CCUACGGGGGGCAGCAGUAGGGAAUAUUGGACAAUGGGGGGAACCCUGAUCCAGCCAUGCCGCGUGUGUGAAGAAGGCCCUCGGGUUGUAAAGCACUUUCAGUGAGGAAGAACGCCUGGUGGUUAAUACCCAUCAGGAAAGACAUCACUCACAGAAGAAGCACCGGCUAACUCCGUGCCAGCAGCCGCGGUAAUACGGAGGGUGCGAGCGUUAAUCGGAAUUACUGGGCGUAAAGCGCGCGUAGGUGGCUUGAUAAGCCGGUUGUGAAAGCCCCGGGCUCAACCUGGGAACGGCAUCCGGAACUGUCAAGCUAGAGUGCAGGAGAGGAAGGUAGAAUUCCCGGUGUAGCGGUGAAAUGCGUAGAGAUCGGGAGGAAUACCAGUGGCGAAGGCGGCCUUCUGGACUGACACUGACACUGCGGUGCGAAAGCGUGGGUAGCAAACAGGAUUAGAUACCCGAGUAGUC
rnacentral:rRNA from 1 species